rnacentral:rRNA from 1 species
GACGAACGCUGGCGGCGUGCUUAACACAUGCAAGUCGAACGGUGAAAGCGGAGCUUGCUCCGCUGGAUCAGUGGCGAACGGGUGAGUAACACGUGGGCAACCUGCCCCUCACUUCGGGAUAACUCCGGGAAACCGGGGCUAAUACCGGAUAUGACCUCCUUGGGCAUCCUUGGAGGUGGAAAGUUUUUCGGUGAGGGAUGGGCCCGCGGCCUAUCAGCUUGUUGGUGAGGUAGUGGCUCACCAAGGCGACGACGGGUAGCCGGCCUGAGAGGGCGACCGGCCACACUGGGACUGAGACACGGCCCAGACUCCUACGGGAGGCAGCAGUGGGGAAUAUUGCGCAAUAGGCGAAAGCCUGACGCGGCAACGCCGCGUGCGGGAUGACGGCCUUCGGGUUGUAAACCUCUUUUAGCAGGGAAGAAGCGAAAGUGACGGUACCUGCAGAAAAAGCACCGGCUAACUACGUGCCAGCAGCCGCCGUAA